rnacentral:rRNA from 1 species
GUGGGGGAUAUUGGACAAUGGGCGAAAGCCUGAUCCAGCCAUGCCGCGUGUGUGAAGAAGGUCUUCGGAUUGUAAAGCACUUUAAGUUGGGAGGAAGGGUAGUAACCUAAUACGUUGCUACUUUGACGUUACCGACAGAAUAAGCACCGGCUAACUUCGUGCCAGCAGCCGCGGUAAUACGAAGGGUGCAAGCGUUAAUCGGAAUUACUGGGCGUAAAGCGCGCGUAGGUGGUUCAGUAAGUUGGAAGUGAAAUCACCGGGCUCAACCUGGGAAGUGCUUUCAAAACUGCUGAGCUAGAGUACGGUAGAGGGUGGUGGAAUUUCCUGUGUAGCGGCGAAAUGCGUAGAUAUAGGAAGGAACACCAGUGGCGAAGGCGACUACCUGGACUGAUACAGACACUGAGGUGCGAAAGCGUGGGGAGCAAACAGGAUUAGAAACCCGAGUAGUCC